rnacentral:rRNA from 1 species
CUCCAGUUGAUCGCAUGGUCUUCUGGGGAAGCUUUCGCGGUAUGGGAUGGGGUCGCGUCCUAUCAGCUUGACGGCGGGGUAACGGCCCACCGUGGCUUCGACGGGUAGCCGGCCUGAGAGGGCGACCGGCCACAUUGGGACUGAGAUACGGCCCAGACUCCUACGGGAGGCAGCAGUGGGGAAUAUUGCACAAUGGGCGCAAGCCUGAUGCAGCGACGCCGCGUGAGGGAUGGAGGCCUUCGGGUUGUAAACCUCUUUUAUCGGGGAGCAAGCGAGAGUGAGUUUACCCGUUGAAUAAGCACCGGCUAACUACGUGCCAGCAGCCGCGGUAAUACGUAGGGUGCAAGCGUUAUCCGGAAUUAUUGGGCGUAAAGGGCUCGUAGGCGGUUCGUCGCGUCCGGUGUGAAAGUCCAUCGCUUAACGGUGGAUCCGCGCCGGGUACGGGCGGG